rnacentral:lncRNA from 1 species
CACAAUGAAGGAACCUCAGUAAAGGGAUACACUUCACCUCUGUGAUGUCAAUGAAAUUUCUGGAUAAAAAAUAAUCUCACAUCUUCAAGCUGCAAAAGCCAAGAAGUAUUAUAAAGAGAAUCUUCUCAUUAGUCAAAAAUGCAGUACAAGAAAUAAUAACAAAAAUGACGGAAGACUAUUUAACCUCACAAGAACAUAUGUAACCAUUACAAAGUGAAAAAUUAUAGCUGAUAGUACAUAUGUGACGGCCAAAAAAAGUAGCUUCUUAUCAAUGUUUCAAACUUCAUAUUGAGUGGAAAUGUCACUUUUUUGAGUGAAGUUAAUACCUGAAAAUUAGUUUUAGCAUAUCAUAAUAUUGAUAACUUAGAAACGGGUACAAACAGAUAGAGCAAGGGACUAAUAGACUAUUGGGGCUUCGUCUAUCUUUCUUUUAUUGUUGGACAUCUGUUUUUAGGCAUUUGAUAAAAUUCCUUCAAAAAUAGAGUCUACAUUUUGUAAUCUUAAUAUUUAAUUUAUUAAGUAGAUAAUCUAUAGAACAUAAAAUAAAAUAUAAAGCACAAUCAUUUUGCAUUAUGAUUAAGCAAGCAGUGCACAAAAUUAUCUCUUACAGUUAUAGUAGUAUCUCUUUUUCCCCAUCUUGAGCGACUUUCACUUCAAAAGCCUGUGAAUAAAAAAGUUGUGAUCAUUAUAUUCUAACUAAACGGAUCACAAACGUUCGAUUAUGUCAUGAAUCGAGAAAUUAGAAUUCACUGAAUAUGAGUAGUGGAAAAUAUGUAAACACAGAGACCAAAACUUUAAAAAAGCAUUCUGGUUGCAAAAUCGUCAUGGCCCAAUGCAAGUAAAAUUGAUUGAUUGUGAAAAAAUAAAACAUGCAUGAGCAAAACAGACAAACUUACCGAUAUGCACGCAGAAAUCCAACCAAAAAUUACCCAAAUUUCAAGAUGUUCAAAUAUCUUUUAAAAAAUAGAUUGAAACACAUGAAUGGCUGAACAAAUUAAACAGAGGAAAAUUUAAAGAAGGUUAUAUUAGUAUAAGAUGAAAUCUUGUAAGCUUACAACUAAAAGUACCAAUUAAAUAAUAACAAAUCAUUUUAACACGCAAAAAUAUCAUCACCUACAUGUAAAAUACAUCAUCAACUACAUGUAAAAGGUAAAAGGCACCAAAUAAACAAUUGAUAAGCUAUUUCAGGCAGUCAGGCAUAUUAUCAAAUACCUUAUCUACACAUUGUGUGUACUCCCGUAAAGGCUGUCAAACAAUUAAUUACAUGCAUGAGCAGAACCCACACAGAGAACAUGAAGAAAGACCACCAAAAAGUCAUUAAAGAAAUCCAUUCAUGAUUCGGUGAAGAGAAACAUAAAAUAAUAGCUGCUGAAACAGAUUAUUUGAACCAACAUCCAACACCUCAGGAUUAUUUCUUAAUUCGACCCUCUUGAUUCGUUCAUGGUAUGCAACUAAUUAGAAAAUGCAACUAAUUAGAAACAACGUCCCUCUUCAGAAAAACCAAAAUAUACAAUAUUGAAAGAAAAAAGAAAGGCAGCCAGAAAAUAAUACGCAAAGCUGCAAAGCAGAGGGUAAGAAGAAGAACAGCAAAAUUCACCAAAAAAAAAAAGGAAAGGAGGAAGCAUAAGAAAAGAUGAAGUGAGAAUUGAAAUGUGAGGCGUUCUCUCAAAAGGUUU